rnacentral:rRNA from 1 species
GUGGGGAAUAUUGGACAAUGGGCGCAAGCCUGAUCCAGCAAUGCCGCGUGGGUGAAGAAGGUCUUCGGAUCGUAAAGCCCUUUCGACAGGGACGAUGAUGACGGUACCUGUAGAAGAAGCCCCGGCUAACUUCGUGCCAGCAGCCGCGGUAAUACGAAGGGGGCUAGCGUUACUCGGAAUUACUGGGCGUAAAGGGCGCGUAGGCGGCUCUGUUAGUCAGGCGUGAAAUUCCUGGGCUUAACCUGGGGACUGCGCUUGAGACUGCAGGGCUUGAGGCCGAGAGAGGGUGGUGGAAUUCCCAGUGUAGAGGUGAAAUUCGUAGAUAGUGGGAAGAACACCGGUGGCGAAGGCGACCACCUGGCUCGGUUCUGACGCUGAGGCGCGACAGCGUGGGGAGCAAACAGGAUUAGAUACCCGAGUAGUCC